GUGUGUCGGCCCAGUCCUUCCUCCACUGCUUCACCUUGGCCAGCACCGCCUUCAACCUGCAGGUGGCCACCCCUGGGGGGAAGGCCAUAGACUUUGUGGAUAUAACCGAAAGCAAUGCACGCUGGGUGCAAGACUUCCGCCUUAAGGCCUAUGCCAGCCCUGCCAAGCUCGAGUCCAUCGAUGGUGCCCGGUACCAUGCCCUCCUGGUGCCCAGCUGCCCUGGGGCCCUGACCGACCUGGCCAACAGCGGGUCGCUGGCCCGGAUUCUGCAGCACUUCCACGCCGAGCACAAGCCCAUUUGUGCCGUCGGCCACGGCGUUGCCGCCCUGUGCUGUGCCACCAACGAGGACGGUUCCUGGGUGUUCCACGGCUGCAGCCUGACAGGGCCCAGCGGCUCUCCCCCCACAGCCCUCCGUGUACGAGCUCGUCAGGGCUCCCGGCUUCGCCCGCCUGCCGCUCGUGGUGGAGGACUUCGUGAAGGACUCGGGGGCCAGCUUUAGUGCCAGCGAGCCUGACGCCGUGCACGUCGUGCUGGACCGCCACCUGGUCACGGGCCAGAACGCCAACUCCACCGUCCCUGCCGUACAAAACCUGCUCUUCCUCUGCGGCGGCCGGAAGUGAGCCUGCUGGGUGGAUGGCACCACCUCAAGAUGGCCCAGCGGCUCUCGAGGCAGUUGGGUGUGGACCUCCACAGACUUGCCCUGCCUGGCCCCUCUGGACAGGGCCUCCAUCACAGCCUGGUCCAGCCCCAGGGGCUGUCGAAGCCCAGCCGACACCGGAGCCUCCACUCUCCUGGGCCAGCUCUCCUCCCGUCAGAAGUGAUGCCUCCAGGAGCCGCGGCCGCUGCCAGGCCGCACCGAGUGUACCAGGGAGAGCUGCCUGGAGAGCUGCGCGAGGGCCAGUGGAGGCCUGUCCUGCCGUGCUGCACCUGCCCUCUGCCCUCCGCUCUGCCCUCGUGGGUCGGACCUGUGGGUGGGUGGGGCCAGCUGACUGGAGCUUGCUCAGAAAUGUUCACUCUGGGGACCAGCAGUUAGCGUAAUGGCUAUGGCACUGAACUCUUAUGUAGUCGACCACGGUUCGAGUCCCGGAUGCGAUGUCUUAAACUUGCCCUGGGCGCGUGUGCGUGCGUGCCCAAGA